rnacentral:rRNA from 1 species
UACAGAGGUCUCAAGCGUUGUUCGGAUUCAUUGGGCGUAAAGGGCGCGUAGGCGGCGGGGCAAGUCGGGUGUGAAAUCUCAGGGCUCAACCCUGAAACUGCACUCGAUACUGCUCUGCUUGAGGACUGGAGAGGAGACUGGAAUUCACGGUGUAGCGGUGAAAUGCGUAGAUAUCUGGAGGAACACCGGUGGCGAAGGCGGCAUCCUGGACCAACACUGACGCUGAGGAGCGAAAGCCAGGGGAGCAAACGGG